CAGGAGGGGCGAGUCGAGGGGACAGUGUUGGACUCUGGGGGAUGCUGAGCCCUGAAUGGUAGGGGGAUUAUUAUUGGCAGGGGGUAUGCAGCGAGGAGGUUCCUAAAUGGGAUGGAAAGCUAGGGAACUGAAGGUGGGCAGAGCAGGAAGUGUAGAGAGAGGGGUGAGUGUGAAGGGUGGAGAAGUUUCGGGUGGAGAAUACCUCAGACUAUUUGCCAUUUUGUUUGAGAAGGUUGUCUAGGUUUUGUAAGAAUGUUAAAGUCGAAUGUUCCCAAUUGGGCCCAGUGAUGACCAUUGUUGAGGGAGUAUUGUGGCCAGCUUUGGGUGGACAACUGAAUGACCUUGUGAGCUGGAGCUCAGUGAAACUGAACUUUCUAAGACCCAGAGACAAACCAAGGGAGAGUCCUUUGGAACAGAUAGUUUAGAUCCCAUUACUUAUUUUGUCUUGUUUUUAUUGUUUUGGUUUUCCAGAUAGGGUGUUUCUCUGUGUAGCCUUGGCUACCCUGGAACUUGCUUUGUAGACUAGGUUGGCCUCGAACUCACAGAGAUCCACUUCCCUCUGUCUCUGAGUGCUGGAUUAAAGGCCUGUGCCACCACUGCCUGGUUUAGAUCCCAUUUUUGAAUUUGAAAUGACAAACAGGAUUGGUGAGAGUCUAAUCCCACUGCCUCUUUGUCUCCAAGGUUUCUGGAAAAGGUGAAGACAGACUUGAGUAUUAGGAGGGCCUGUCCUCAUGCUUGUAAGACUCAGGGGAAUCACAAAGCCAAAUGUGGAAGUUUCCAGAACAUCUAGGCCUUUGUGAUCCAUGAUGAGUGAGAAGAUCCCAGAGUUUCUGGGGUCUCUUCAGGGCACCUUUGAGUCAGAUGCAGGCGGUUACCUUGUCCUGCAGAGUUUGGGGGCAUGGAUGGUAAUGAUCAAAUGGCCAGAGUUACCUUCUCCUUUGUUAGAUGUGAGGUUUGCAGACGAUGAAAAAUAACAGGGAAGUUCAUACAUUAUAAACCCAUGAGCUCUGCAUGCGGGAAAACAGCCUGAUGAUCAAAGAAAGCAGCUAUACCCCUACACCCAAGUUUAGGCCUGAGUUCUGUGGCCAUGUAACUUACAGAAUUAAUCAUAAGCCCCGGUAUGCACCUUGAAAAAACAAAGUUGUAAAAGGAAAUUAAAUGAUUCUCUUGCGUGUGAAGAAAAAUAGAUGGCUAGCCCACUGCUCAUUUAAAACUCCUCUAGAGUGAAAUUAAGAAUAGAAAUUUGUUCCAGGGAAAUGGCAAACAGCUGCCUGCCGCUACAGAAGAAACUCGCUGGCUUAGAGCUUGUUAAUCAGUAAUAACAGAAUCAUUGCUUCGGGGAGAAGAUGUUAUGGUGGGAAAAUUAAAAUAAAGGAAAAUGUUUAACUAUUUGUGGGCUUCUAAGGAAAACAUGUAACUUGUGAUCUUAAUAUUUCUUCUUAUGUAAAGAUUUUAAUUUGUUUUAGGAAAAUGUUAUGUGGUUAUGAGGUAAUCUUUCUUUGAAUAGAAAUCUUUGUCUUCGGUGGUAUAAAAGGGAUAAGGGGAAAAUAUAAGACAGAAAAAAAAAAUCCAGCAAAGAGAAAAAUAAAGCAAAGACUUAAGCUUUGGUUCUCAGACAACAGCUCUGUGUGUGAGUGUGUGUGUGUAUGUGUGUGUGUGUGAGCCUGUGUGUGUGUCUAUGUGUCGUGUGUGUGAGACUCUGUAUGUGUCUACGUGUCUCAUGUGUGUGUUUGUGUGUCGUGUGUGUGUGUGUGUGUGUGCACGUGCACACGCAUGCAUGUACGAGCAUUGCACAGUCUUCUGGCACUGCUGAAAGUUGGUCUAACAGCAGCAGGAGGGAGGGAGGCUAAGGAGCCUGAAAACCCCAGUCUCUCCCCUGGGGCUUUUCAAACUCUGAAAGCUCUUCUUCCCCUGAUUUAAGAGUCUGUAGGUUUGAACAAAGGCAGGCUGGCUGAUUGGCUCACUAGUGUUGUGUAAUUGUGCCCCUGAUCUGGCUUUCCUUCAUCCUACAGGUCCAGUACUGAGGGGGUUUUACUGGAGGGAGGGAGAAAAGCCUGCCACGCCUUUGUUUUUAAGCUGCCAGGCUUUGGUCCCAGGUCAUGAGGGUAAGGAAAUUUGUCAUCACGUCAAGUCCCCUCUCCCAAUCUGUCUGCCUAACUCCUAGUUGCCUCCGUGGGGUUGCCUGCCUGCUUCUGGGGUCACAGAAAUGUUCUGUAGAGUUGGAGGAAUAUAAUAGGAGAUACUGAGUUUUUUUCAGUACACAACUAAUCAAGAACCUCCCUGUUUUCCCCUUGUCAUUGGCCCAGGAGCCUCCAGCUAUUGAGGUUUUGGCCCCCACUUGCAAGCUUCCCAGGUGACGGGUGACACUAGAAAUAUAAACCUCAGCUUUGCCCUGUCCUGGAAUUUAAAUUACCAUAUGAAAAGGUGAUGGUAUCUGAGUUUUGCUCUAAAUUCCACUCCUUGGUCUGGAGUGGAGACAGCUAACCAAAUGAGAUGGGAGGGGUUGUUACGGGAUGAAGGAGGCAUGUCUUUUUCCUUCCCAGAAGCCUCUUCCACCAGGCAGCACUGUCGAGCCUGUCAUGGGCCACCUGCUGUACUAAUUUAAUGUUACAGAAUUGGGGGGGGGGGCAGCACUCUAACUCCUAACCCUGUUCCCAGUCCAAUGCAGCCAAGAAUCCUGUAUAAGCCAAGUAAGAGCCAAAUUAGAGCCUGGCAGUGGUGGCUCAGGGCUUUGCUCCCAGCCCUCGGGAGGCAGAGACAGGUGAAUCUCUGUGAGUUUGAGGCCAGCCUGGACUAUAGAGUGGACAGACUCCAAAGCUCCAGAAAACCCUGUUUUGAAAAAUCAAAAAUAAAAUAAAAUAAAAAUUAAAAAGUCAAAUUAAACGUGUAAAGCAGAAAAUGGAGAUUUAUCCAAUGUAGCCACAUUAGGAAGAGGGACAAAAAGAUCCAACUAAGCUCCUAUCUUCAAUUCCCAGUGAACCCAUCUUCAAAUCCCAAAGUGAGAUAAAAGUUUAAACUUUUGUUUAGUCUUUAUUUUUAUUUUAUACGUAUGAGUGUUCUUCCUUUAUGUCUGAACAACACAUGUAUACAGUGCCAGUAGAAGCCAGAAGAGAGCAUUGUAUGUCCUAUGGCUGGGGUUACAGAUCAUUGUGAGUCACCAAAGUGGGUGCUGGGAAUGGAAUAUGGAUUUGUUGUUAAAUGACUACAUUUCCCAGCUUCCUUUGCAGCCAGGUAAGGCAACUCCAAAAAGAGGGACUACCGGACGAAAAGUAAACUACUGGCUUCAGUCAUUUCCACACCUAAAAAGGUUUGCAGUCAUCUUUUCCCACUGGCAGAAGGCUCGGCUUCCCCGGCGUUAGAUUCAGCCGCCCCUCGCAGUGUGCACCCAUGAGGUGUGAUCCCGUCGAAUCACACCGCCCUCCUCUUUUUCUGCUUUCUCUCUUUAAUCUGCCUCAGAAAUCUGCCACUCUGGGAUAAUAAAAGCAGCUAAUAACCCGUGGAAGGAGGAUUAUUAAUAAGAGGUUAGGAAGUUGAGUGUGUCACCACUGGGGAAUGUUCCCAUGUUCAGCCCAGGAUGUGAUGUUAGCCACGGAAUGCCGUAGCCUGACAUUACGGAGCUGCACCAGGCACUUGGUAAACUGAGUCUUUGAUCAGGAGUGCUCUUAUUUUCAUAGCGGUGGCGACAACUGCCACCAACCUGCCAUCCGAAUGUGUGCCUCACAGAGUCAGGAAGGAAAAGCCUAGGCACUUUCUGUUGGCUCAGUUUCCACUGUUGAUAACAGAGGCUCAACUGCCUGUGCUAUGGACCUAACUGGACCUGCAGUCCACCCACCCAUCCGCCCUCCCACACAUCCUCCCAUCUGUUUCCUCCUGCUAACUGAACUCCACUUUGCAACUUCGCUGUCAAACCUGUGCCUUGCAGUGAGUGGCCCGACUUGCAGCCGCCUCACUGUUUCCAGUGUUUUCUCUGUUGUUUGGUUUUUCUCUGUUUACAUUUCUACCAACUUCCUUGGGAGUCUAAGGACUUGUGAAGCCUCUCAACCUUGCUGUGACCUCUUAGGGCUUUUACAGCCGUUCUAUAACCCACACAUUUAUUUACUAUGCGAUGUGGGUACGACUGAGUAUUUGUUAACGUGGAAACCUAAGUGUUUGCCUCGGUCGGGUUAUCAAAGAAAACAGGACUCUCUAGCAAAUCGCUGUUGGAACAUGGCCAAAAGAGUGACUAACGGUGAACAAUGUGAGAGGCUCUAGGAAAACAAGCAAAAAAGCCAGGCAGUGGUGGCACACGCCUUUAAUCCCAGCACUUGGGAGGCAGAGGCAGGCGGAUCUUUGUGAGAUUGAGCCUGGACUACAGAAAAGUCUGGAAUGUUUGGCUGGGGACUUCACCCCAGAUCCUGGCAUCCAUCUUGGAAUGUUGAGUAGAAAGCUCCACUUCAAGCCCCUCCCCUGGGAGUUGCCUCAAUCCAAACUCCACCUCCAAGAAAGCCAUGCCCACAGGCUAUUUAAACUGCCCCACAGAGAAGGACCGCAUGGUCCCCCUUUUCCCUUGAUGUGGUGGCUUGCUGUCCUUGUGGGACUCCUAACAAGAGAGUGGGGGUGCCUCUGACUCUUUUGCCUUUACUACUGGGUUGCCUUGUCCAGCCUUGAUAUGAGGGUUUGUGCCUGGUCUUAUUGUCAUGUGUUAUGUCAUGGUCAGUUUUGCCCCUGGAAGACCUGCUUUUUUUGGGGGGGGGGGAAAGUGGAGGAGUGGAGUGGAUCUGGGGGAAAGGGGAGGGAACUGGGAGGAGUGGAAGUAGGGGAAACUCUGGUGAGGAUGUAAUGUAUGUAAAGAAUAAAAAAUAAGGGAUGACUCAGAGGUUAAGAGCACUGGCUGCUCUUCCAGAGGUCCUGAGUUCAUUUCCCAGCAACCACAUGGUGGCUCACAACCAUCUGUAAUGAGAUCUGGUGCUCUCUUCUGGCGGGCAGGCAUACAUGCAGGCAGAACACUGUGUUAUUCUUUCGGUCCCUGCCCUAGCCACGCCCACUCCUUUUUAACCUGUGACCUCGCUCGUCAUCACUCUCUGUUUUUCCUGUUCUCUCUCCCGGUGUACACGCAGGGCUUUGCCUCUCUCCUCCUCUUCCCCCUCUUUCUCUCUCUCUCUCUCUCUCUCUCUCUCUCUCUCUCUCUCUCUCUCUCUCUCUCUCUCUCUCUCUCUCUCUCUCUCCUUCUCUCUCUCCCUCUUCCUUAAUAAACACUUAUGUCUAUUUUUGUGUUUACGUGUCUGUUACCCUCCGCCACCAGCCGCGUGGCGCAUGCCCUCCCGCUGGUGGGAAACUGUAGCCAUUUUUAGGAAUAAGAUUGGUGCCACGUGACUCCCGGACCAGGUUCUUUUCCACUUUGCCAGCCCAUGACCCACGUGUUCCAUCUGCCUGGACGCAGCUCCUCCAAACAACAAAUCAACUAAUCAGCGCUGACCAUUGGGAAAACCUGCCUUUCGUCUAAAGUAAAGACCUCUCUAGACGUGGACGGAAUCGCUGGAAUCGACAGCCUAGCUGCUCAGGUCAAGGUAGGCCUGUCUUCCUACAGAUUUCUUAGCCCACAGGAUCUUCUGGAGCCUGGCAGGCCCUGCGCUAAACAGCAAAGCUCAAGUGCAACCUUCCGUGACCAUGGAGGACCCAAAAAGAGUAGCUCUUGGUGCCAACCAAGUAAGUUCUCUGUCAUUUUUUAAUCAGUAACUCAAGUAAAAUCUUAUCCUUCUCAAAGAUCUCUGACAGUUUGACAGCUGAGAGGUUUCGCUAGGUUGAGGCUUUGCAAGGUGACCUCACCAAACAAAUUUCAAAUCAAAUUUAUCUCUUAUGCCACAGUCAUUAUAUGUCUAAAACUUCUGUUUUCACAAACCCAAGGAGUUCUUGUGAGUUCCAGGGAGCCGAAUUAAGAAAUCCACCUUAAACAGGUCAGCUACAUCCCCCUCAAUUUCCUGGUCCUAAAAUUUUUUCCCUUAAUUUAACUUUGUUCUUUGUUCUGCCAAUACCUUAGGCCAUGCCACAAACACCGGUCAAAAGCAAAGAGACCAGCUGUGCCAGGAUGUUCCCAGCACCCCAGCCUUCUCUCGCGCCCCCCCAAAGACGACACCCACAAUCAGCCGGAAGCAGUCUUGAGAAUUCGCCGCCCCAAUUCCUUCAAACUGGAGCGUCUAAUUUGCUUUUUUAUUAAAAGCAAGAUGUGGGAAUGUUAUUCUUUCCGUCCCUGCCCUAGCCACGCCCACUCCUUUUUAACCUGUGACCUUGCUCAUCAUUGCUCUCUGUUUUUCCUGUUCUCUCUCCCGGUGUACACUCGGGGCUUUGCCUCUCUCCUCUUCCUCCCCCCCCUCUCUCCCUUUCUCUCUCUCCCUCUUCCUUAAUAAACACUUAUGUCUAUUUUUGUGUUUACAUGUCUGUUACCCUCCACCACGUGCCCUCCUACUGGUGGGAAACUAGCUAUUUUUAGGAAUAAGACACUGUAUACAUAAUAGAUAAAUAAAUGAAAAGAAAACCUAUUUUAAAAAAAGAAUAAAAAAUAA